rnacentral:rRNA from 1 species
AGUGAACGCUGGCGGCGUGCUUAACACAUGCAAGUCGAACGAGAACGGAAUAUAGCUUGCUAUAUUUGCCAGCUAAGUGGCGCACGGGUGAGUAAUAUAUAGAUAACCUGCCCUUAAGAAAGGAAUAACAGUUGGAAACGACUGCUAAUGCCCUAUAUGCCUUUAAUACAUAAGUAUGCAAGGGAAACGCUUUAGUGCUUAAGGAUGGGUCUGUAUGGUAUCAGCUUGUUGGUGAGGUAAUGGCUCACCAAGGCUAUGACGCCUAACUGGUUUGAGAGGAUGAUCAGUCACACUGGAACUGAGACACGGUCCAGACUCCUACGGGAGGCAGCAGUGGGGAAUAUUGCACAAUGGACGAAAGUCUGAUGCAGCAACGCCGCGUGGAGGAUGACACAUUUCGGUGCGUAAACUCCUUUUAUAUAGGAAGAUAAUGGCGGUACUAUAUGAAUAAGCACCGGCUAACUCCGUGCCAGCCGCCGCAGUAA